rnacentral:misc_RNA from 1 species
CGCUCGGGAAGUUUUGGUAGCUCUUGCUGAGAAGUUCAGUGAGUCUGCAGAACGAAAAGGGAAGAUUGUUGUGCAAAUGAAACAAGUAUGGAAUUGGUUCCAAAAUAGACGCUAUGCAAUAAGGGCAAAAUCAAGCAAGGCUCCUGUGAAGUUAAAUGUGACUCCUAUGUCUCGAGAGGAGUCAACUCCUGUGAGGAGUGUGCCCCAACCUGUAGCUGCUUCUAUUCCUACUCCUCUUCCUACAACCACGGC